UCGUAGUGAAGUGCGACAAACCGAACAAAUUUCUGCCCUAUCAACUGAGGACGGUAGCAUAGAGGGCUACAGUGGUUUUGACGGGUAACGGAGAAUUAGGGUUCGAUUCCGGAGAGGGGGCAUGAGAAAUGGCCACCACUUCCAAGGAAGGCAGCAGGCGCGUAAAUUAUCCAAUGGCGACACGCCGAGAUAGUGACAACAAAUAACAAUGGCAGUAUGUAAAGUACGGCCAAUUGGAAUGAAGACAAAUUAAACCCCUUACUGAGAAUCAAUUGGAGGGCAAGUCUGGUGCCAGCAGCCGCGGUAAUUCCAGCUCCAAUAGCGAAUACUAAUUUUGUUGCAGUUAAAACGCUCGUAGUUGGAAAGUUUUCUAAUAAUUGUGGUGUAUACUUUGAUGGUGUGCUUAACUGUAUGCUAUUGAAUGUUAUCGACUGUAAUUAUUGUAAAAAUAGAGAGAUAUUAGCGAGUAAAAAUUGUUAAUAUGUCAAGUUACUGUGAAUAAAUUAGAGUGUUUAAAGCGAUCGGGUUGAAAGAGACCACGGAGUGAAUACGAAAGCAUGGGAUAAGAGAAGAAGAAGUGAAAGAUAGCAGCCAGGGUGAAAGUGAAUAUGUUUCCAGAAAUGAAAAAGAGGAACGGUCGGGGGUAUUUGAAUUGAAUAGCUAGCGGUGAAAUGCGAGGAUUUGUUCACGACAAACAUCAGCGAAAGCAUUUACCAAGGACGAGUCCAUUAAUCAAGAACGAAAGUUUGGGGAUCGAAGAUGAUUAGAUACCGUCGUAGUCCAAACUAUAAACGAUACCGACCAAGGAUGAGAGGUCGUUGUAUAUAAUAUUGACAGUGCAAGUGAUUGCGUUGUGAAUAGAUGAGGACUCCUUUCGAACUUUAGAGGGAAACCAUUGAGUGAUUAGGUUCUGGGGGGAGUACGGUCGCAAGGCUGAAACUUGAAGGAAUGGACGGAAGGGCACCACCAGGUGUGGAACCUGCGGCUUAAUUCGACCCAACACGGGGAAACUUACCAGGUCCGGACACAGGAAGGAUUGACAGAUUGAGAUUUGGGUUCUUUCUUGAUUCUGUGGGUGGUGGUGCAUGGCCGUUCUUAGUUCGUGGAACUGAUCUGUCUGCUUAAUUGCGUUAACGAACGAGACCUUAGUUUAUUUAUUAGAUUAGAAUAACAUUUGUUAUGUCUAAUAGAAAUCGUCAAUGAUUUCUUUUGCUUCUUAAAAGUACUAUUCAUAUCCAGUAGAGGGAAGUUUAAGGCAAUAACAGGUCUGUGAUGCCCUUUAGAUGUUCUGGGC
rnacentral:rRNA from 1 species